ACAGCUUUAUUCCCAGUCCAUUGGAAAAUACAAAGCAUAAAAUCUGUUCUUAUCAGCUUAAUAUCUGAUACGGGUUCAAAUGAACCCCAGAAUAUUAAACUGAUUUUUGGAAUUCGGUGGGAAAUCAAUGCUUGCAUUGAUAUUUAUAUUGAACACCAUAUAGCGCGCGAACACGGUUUGUCCACU